rnacentral:lncRNA from 1 species
AGAAAGCUACUGGCCAAAAUGGCCAGAAUGCUGGCAGUAACACUGUACAAGAAAAUAGGGACUAGCUUGAUAAUUCCUUUGUUGAAGUGGCUAGCAAAAAGAAGGGAAUGAACAAGUAUAAUGGCCAUGAUCAGGAGGAACAGCUGAUGAAGGCAGCUUGCAUUGACAAACUCAAGGGAAAGAUUGAUGAUCAACAUACAGUAGCAAUAAAGAAAGAUAAGAAGAGGAUAUCCCCUCUCUUGAUAUCGAAAUGAUUCUGCAAGAAGGGAAACGCCCUACACUUGCAAAGAGAUUCAC